GCCCAAAUGGUAACGGAGGCGUUUACAAAGGUUGGCUAUCUUCCGAUGGAAAUGGAAGAGAUAGUGCAAAGGCAAAAGCCAGCUUUACUGCAAGGGGUACAUCCCGCGCAGUUGCGAAAGCAGAACUUAGUGAUCCGACCGUACGAUAUAGGACGGCGGAAGCUCAAC
rnacentral:ncRNA from 1 species